GACGAACCGUGCGAACGUUGUUCGGAAUCACUGGGCUUAAAGGGCGCGUAGGCGGCUUGCCAAGUCAGGGGUGAAAUCCUCCAGCUCAACUGGAGAAGUGCCUUUGAUACUGGCGAGCUCGAGGGAGGUAGGGGUGUGUGGAACUUCUGGUGGAGCGGUGAAAUGCGUUGAUAUCAGAAGGAACGCCGGUGGCGAAAGCGACGCACUGGACCUCUUCUGACGCUGAGGCGCGAAAGCUAGGGGAGCGAACAGG
rnacentral:rRNA from 1 species